CGGGCACAAUGGGCGAACGGUUCCCGGGGUCCACCUCCGGGAGGAAACGAGGAAAGUCCGGUGCACGGCAGGGUUUUCCCUUCCACCAUUCCGGCGCUGUCCCGCAGCUGUGAUGGGGUCACCCUCAGCCAGAACGCUCGCCGUGAACCGUUCCUUCCA
rnacentral:ncRNA from 2 species